CUUUUCAAUGCUACAUUCAAACAAUUCAUUACAAUUCAAAAUGCGACAAAGUCUGCAGAUAUAUCCUCUGUGCAAGGCUGUUCGUAACUCCAAUACUCUACUAGCACUGUAACCAGAAGGACUAAAACAAACAACUCCAUAAAACAACAUGUUUUAGAAUUGCUCAAUCCCAUGAGGAAGACCACAUCACCCAAGGUGCACAGUGGGUAUCAGCAUCCAUUUUUCUCUACACCAUAUCCAAAAGACCUACAUAAUGACAUAAGCAAAUAGUCGACAUGCAAAAAAAAAGUGAUCUAGAAAAAAUGAUUCUAUAUGGCAAAUAUAUAGCUGGUUGAUUGAACCAACCAUAAUAAGAUUGACAGUCUAUGAUUACUGGCCCAGUAUAUAACUUAAGCAUUUUCUCUGAUUUAUGUCUCCAUACUUCAAGAUUCAAUCAGUCAAAUGCACUUAAAUCACACACUAGUUGUAGCUGUCUAUAUGAGUUGCUCUUUUAUGAGACCAAUUCAUCCCAAACAACAAUAACAUUAACAACUAUGCCUAAAUCACAAGCUAAGGGUCGGCUAAUUGGAUCCUUAUCCAUUUAAGUUCUCCGCUGCCAGAAGCUCUUUAUAUUUUCUUCUGACAUUCAAAUCUCGAACAAGAUUCCAUUAUUUUUUCACUAAGUCUUCACGGAAACCAAGAAAAUGUAAGUCUUUCGAGAAAACUUCCUUACAUGUAAUCUUAGGUCUACCUCAAUCCCUUCUAACACUUUCAAUCAUCAUGGUUUCACAUCUAUGGACCAACGCAUCGGCAGGCAUGACAUAGAACAUGACACAUCUAGAGGCUGACAUAGGACAUGACAAUACCUUCUUAAUCAACCUUCUCUUACCAUGUCCUCUAUGUGUGCUACUUCCACCUUCUGCAUGAUGUGAUUAUUUCUAAUCCUGUCUACUCUUGUCUGAUCAACUAUUUCGUUCCAAUACUCAAAGAAUUUAUCUUUAAGAUUUAUCUAUAACAACUAUCCAAACUUACCAUAACUCCACAAAGUGAUACUUAAUAGUAUAUGCAAUUAUGUGAAAACUAUGUUUGCUUAUACAGAAAAGGGGGUAUCACAUCAUAAAAAUGUUUAGUCUAGCAUGAGAGAUCCAUAAAAAUUUUGACUUUCCCUAAAGGCCUAAACCACACACAAUUCUUGACAAAUAUUCAAGAAUCUGAUUUACACCUUCAACCAGCACAUGCAAUCAUUAACUGGAAACAAGUAUAGAAACACAUACCCAACAUUGAAGAAACAAUCUUAUCCAUCAACAAGUUUCAUUUUUUCCCGUAAUAUCCGAGA
rnacentral:lncRNA from 1 species